rnacentral:rRNA from 1 species
UGAGGCCCUCUGGGUCACCUCCCCCCGUGUUUAUUGUACCUUGUUGCUUCGGUGCGCCCGCCUCACGGCCGCCGGGGGGCUUCUGCCCCCGGGUCCGCGCGCACCGGAGACACUAUUGAACUCUGUCUGAAGAUUGCAGUCUGAGCAUAAACUAAAUAAGUUAAAACUUUCAACAACGGAUCUCUUGGUUCCGGCAUCGAUGAAGAACGCAGCGAAAUGCGAUAACUAAUGUGAAUUGCAGAAUUCAGUGAAUCAUCGAGUCUUUGAACGCACAUUGCGCCCCCUGGUAUUCCGGGGGGCAUGCCUGUCCGAGCGUCAUUGCUGCCCUCAAGCACGGCUUGUGUGUUGGGCUCCGUCCCCCCGGGGACGGGUCCGAAAGGCAGCGGCGGCACCGAGUCCGGUCCUCGAGCGUAUGGGGCUUUGUCACCCGCUCUGUAGGCCCGGCCGGCGCCAGCCGACAACCAAUCAUCCUUUUUUCAGGUUGACCUCGGAUCAGGUAGGGAUACCCGCUGAACUUAAGCAUAUCAUAAGCCGGAAG